rnacentral:lncRNA from 1 species
GUUUGUCCUUUAUUCCUUAUUGUCAUUCCAUUAUAUAUCUACACCAACAUGGGAGAAGUUGUAUACAACAAUUAAAAGUUAUAUUUUGCUUCUUAGCUUUAUCUUGUUACCUUUGUAAUUAGAGUAUUAUGUUGUUAUUUAACCAAUGCAAAUCGGUUUUUGCCAGUCUCCCUAGAACAGGUUUUUAAAGGGCUUUGUUUAUAA